CGAUUUUUCCGCCCACAGAAUCUUAAGAACAUGCAUAUGGUGGUGGACAAACUAAUGGCCCACUCACAUCUCAAAUAAAAAGGCACAUUGUCCGUGCUUGACUGCAAUAUCUUCCCCGGUUUGGGGCAAGAUUACCUGAACUGAAGUCAACAUGUUCCUCCUUCCUGUGCAGGAGAAUGAUGGGGAGGAUAAUCUGACUAAAGCAGGAUUGGGAACCUACCCGCUGUUCUCUCUGCUGCUGGGGUACAGAGGCCAUCCUGCCUUCUCCACAAUGGUUUCAAAACUCCGUAGCCAAAUACUGGCCAUGGCCCGCUGUCAGCUGUCACACAUAAUCCUGAGUGGGAAGAAUUGGAAAACACAUUCGUCUCUACCCACCUGUUGUGGUACUGCAGUAUCUCCCCACUACCUUGUGUUCUUUUGUUCCCCCUGUAGGUACCAAAUUCGUGCUGCCUGCCGGAUCCCUAUCUGCACAUGCACAAAAGUGGUCCUGUCUGUCAAAGAAUGAGCCGUUCCAUAAUUACUCGUGUGUUGUUGACUGUUUUCAUAUCAGGGAGUCAAAUACUGACGCUUUCAGAAAGGCUGACAAACUGCUAUUUGAUCAUAGUAUUUGAUUCAAAAGGUACCCUUCGGUGUGCGUAUGAGACACCCUGUCUAGACCGGAAGCGCUAGUAGCUAGCUAGGUAGCUAGCUAUGUUACUAUAAAAGGCA